AUUGAACGCUGGCGGCAGGCCUAACACAUGCGAGUCGAGCGGAUGAAGGGAGCUUGCUCCUGGAUUCAGCGGCGGACGGGUGAGUAAUGCCUAGGAAUCUGCCUGGUAGUGGGGGAUAACGUCCGGAAUCGGGCGCUAAUACCGCAUACGUCCUGAGGGAGAAAGUGGGGGAUCUUCGGACCUCACGCUAUCAGAUGAGCCUAGGUCGGAUUAGCUAGUUGGUGGGGUAAAGGCCUACCAAGGCGACGAUCCGUAACUGGUCUGAGAGGAUGAUCAGUCACACUGGAACUGAGACACGGUCCAGACUCCUACGGGAGGCAGCAGUGGGGAAUAUUGGACAAUGGGCGAAAGCCUGAUCCAGCCAUGCCGCGUGUGUGAAGAAGGUCUUCGGAUUGUAAAGCACUUUAAGUUGGGAGGAAGGGCAGUAAGUUAAUACCUUGCUGUUUUGACGUUACCAACAGAAUAAGCACCGGCUAACUUCGUG
rnacentral:rRNA from 1 species